rnacentral:rRNA from 1 species
AUUGAACGCUGGCGGCAGGCUUAACACAUGCAAGUCGAGCGGAGAUGAGGUGCUUGCACCUUAUCUUAGCGGCGGACGGGUGAGUAAUGCUUAGGAAUCUGCCUAUUAGUGGGGGACAACAUUCCGAAAGGAAUGCUAAUACCGCAUACGCCCUACGGGGGAAAGCAGGGGAUCUUCGGACCUUGCGCUAAUAGAUGAGCCUAAGUCGGAUUAGCUAGUUGGUGGGGUAAAGGCCUACCAAGGCGACGAUCUGUAGCGGGUCCGAGAGGAUGAUCCGCCACACUGGGACUGAGACACGGCCCUGACUCCUACGGGAGGCAGCAGUGGGGAAUAUUGGACAAUGGGCGGAAGCCUGAUCCAGCCAUGCCGCGUGUGUGAAGAAGGCCUUUUGGUUGUAAAGCACUUUAAGCGAGGAGGAGGCUACCUGGAUUAAUACUCUAGGAUAGUGGACGUUACUCGCAGAAUAAGCACCGGCUAACUCUGUGCCAGCCGCCGCCGUAAGAC